UAUAGCAAAUAACCAGGUUAGAUUACAUGAUUUUAACAGCACUCAUCAGUAGGUAGGUCUCAGACAAUUAACACAGUGGUCCAAAGGGAUUUGCUACAAUAGAAGCAGUGACUUAGUUAGUGGUUCGAGAGUGACAAGGUUCACCUGAGACUUACUGCAGGGUCCUGGGGGGUUGUUCUAAAUUCUGUGGCUUCAAAAACUCCCUCUUAGCUCAUCCUACUCCCUCGCUGGUGUAUGUCUGCAGAUGAGCUUGUUCCUUGAGGAUUCAGCCCUGAGAUGUGGGGACCCUCGGGGCACCCCAAGAGGUGUCCCAGCUCAGGGGGAAAUUGUGGGUUCAGUUCCUGGAGAGCUCCAAGAGUUCUUGUUUGGGGUUGCUAUUCAUAGGAUUACGAGGCCAUUGUCUCUUGGUCAGUAAUUUUCCAGGAUUCGAGUCUUUUGAAUAUUUAUUUCGAAGUCAGGUUGCGCAAUCCUCUUCCCCUCACAGGAGAGUGAGACACUGUCAGCCUUCACCAACAGCGGAAUGGUGUCGUGAUAGCUUUUCCUUUCCUAUUUAUGAGAUUAAAUGAUCAAAUGGUAGUCAGAGAUUUCUUAUCAGGUUGCUUCCCAGAAUGUGCUCUGCCUGGGGCUCUGUUUUAAUGAGCUAUCCUGUUCAAGGGGCGAUUUCAUGCUCCCAAACCUGACUACGACUUAUGCCAAGAGCGGGAGCAGACUGAACCCGUCGUGCUGUACAGAAGAAGACCAUCCCCACCAUGCUGUACGUGAGCAGACAAUCCCCAUCAUGCUGUACAGGAGCAGUCCAUACCCACCACACCAACAACAUGCCAUAGAAGUCGUGGCCGGGGGAGCCAGCUGGGACGCAGUCAGAGCAGCCAAGCACAAUGCACUGCAUCUGCCCUGGCUUCGCUAACACAGCCGGACCACAAAGAUUAAUUGCAUAAUCCAGUGAACAAAUCAGUCUGCUGGAGAAAGAACAUCCAUAAAUCUAUUUGAAAACCUCAGCGGGAGCUGGUUGCUGUCAGCUAGGCAGCUGGGACAGUUGGAGUUGUGUCAUGGCAGCACUCAUAUGUUGAUCUGGUUUGGUAACCCAGGAAAUUUCAGAUGGAUCAGCCUCAAAGUGCCACGUUUGUACCAAUUCCGUGGUUGUGGCCAAUUUUUCUUGCCCCAGGAGAAGUACGGGCUCUAUAAAAGGUCAUCCUGUAUAAUCUGUUCCAAGAGCAGCUCUCAUUUCGGUUUUUAGAAAAUUAGAGACUGGUGAGUGAGUUUACAGUGUUGGAUGAAAAGUUUAUCUUUAAUUCUAGCGACAAGCAAUAUGAUAAAGUGACCAGCUGGUUUUGUGGUUAGAUAUUUGCCUGUCUGGACUUCUGCUGCCUAACAGUGCAUUGUGUAAUGUGGGCUUCCUUUUCCUUCCCUUUCUGAGCUUCUGGGUUUACUACUUUCUCCUUUCGGUCUGGUGUGCCAUGAGACCUUUGUACCAUUCCUGAGACAGAUAUCCUUUCUCACAGUCUUCUCUGAUGUCUUCUGAGAGUUUUUCCUUAUCUCUGAGCAGUCAGAAUUGCUGUUCUUUACAUUCCCUUGAGUUCACAUCGUCUGGAAAAUGGGACGACUGGUACUGCCUGCUCACAGGCAACAGGCUUGUGUUUCAGUCCCCUAAUUAAUGCAGAGAGAUUGAUAAAAACCACUUAAUAUUUCUGAUUCUGCUUUUGUAUGCAGUCCAGCAAAGACAAAUCCCGGUCAAGAUGCAUUCUUUCAGCAAAAUGUUUGAAUUGCUCCUUAAGUAUGAUUAAUCUGUCCAAAUGCCCUGAAUGCCAUGCUUGUUUUCAUGUAACCGUAUACAAUCUUUUGUAGCAGAAAAUUCAAGUGGUGUCUGCUUGGACCAGAAGUGUUGCAAUAAAAAUUGUUUAACUCUUCUGAAGCAGCAUAAGCAUGCACAACAAGCAGGGCUCCUUGGUCUCCGAAACCACUUCAGCAAACUCUCCAACCAUCUGUGUUGUGUUUUUUUUUGUUGUUGUUCUUAUGGUUCUUUUUCAGGAAAGAGCUAUAAAAGGAAAGAAAUUUUUGCUGGUGGUGUCUGAAUCCAAGGAACGAAUUCAAGUGUUAAACCACAACUUGUAGUUAGAGGACAAUGUUCAUCUCUCUGCUGUCAUCGUGGGACAUGCUGCUGUUUCGUGUUCAUUCAUGGAAUGCUGAAAUGUCUCUCUUCAAACCUAAAUUCCUCCAUUUUGUGAAAGACACAGACAAGAUUGCUACGUUCUGCAAGAUGGAGGGCUGGAGGCAGUUACUGUCCAUUUCUGCAGUUCUCCUCAUUAACAAAGGAGCAAUUGAGGACUCUGUCCCCUAACCAGAGAUCCUGACUCAGUCAUCCCUAUCAAUUACAUCCAAUGCCUUAAGAAAGCAACGUUCGAAGGGGCAGUUGCAUGCCAGUCCAAGCUUUGCAGGUCUAAAUCUCGGUAUCAGAUGGCGAGGCAGAGCAGAGGGCUUCCUUCCAGACUUCCAUGCAAUUCUCUCUGAAACAGUGGCUGCAGAUAGUUAAGUAUUACCUUCCUCUUAGUCUCCUUACAAAACGCCCUGUUUUCCACAAGAAGAGAGGUAGUUGGCAUGUUUUACAAAACUGCAUCUUGUCUUUCUUUCUGCUCGUGUUAAAGCUCUACUAGUUUAGAUAUUCGAAGUCAUUUGAAGUCUUUGCAGGUAUUUUCUGCUGCUGACCACGAGUUCUGAUGGAAACCAGCUAAGAUGUAUCCAGAAAGUGCCGUUUUUUUCCUGUGGACUCUGAGGGAAUCAAAGGCAACUGAGUUGAGUGGAGACAUCCAGAUGUUGGAGCACGUGCGGUCCAGGGAGUAGGUUGGGGUCGUGGCAUCAUCUGCUGGAGCCGUUGGGGUCCAGCCAUCAGCCAUGCUGGGCCAGAGCAGCUGGAGGAAGCAGCUGCUCUUUACUGCAUUUAACAAUAACAAACGAAGUCAAAGUGCUCCCAAAAUGUAUUAUCCUAGUUUAUUUUUCCUAUCUCAUUAAAAAAAAAAAAAAAAGAAUAACAAACGGAUUAUAUAUGUGCAGGAGCAUUCAUCUUCCGAAAACAACCCCAUGGCCUUGCGAUCUUACUGAAAGCUGAAAAUGUUGGCAGCAUGGAUAGUUUGCAAGACUGAGUUCUUUACUCUGGCCAAUAACUUGUUACUACUUUUUAAAGCCUUUCAGUAUAACUUUUCUAGAGUGAUUACUCCGAUGUUCAGCUUUUAAUCUAUCUUGCCUACUGAAGCUAUAAUCGUAUCUGCAUGGAAUUAACCCCAGGAGAAAUGCUUGCUCAUUUAAAAACUGUAUUCAGUGUUAAUUAAUGUUAGCAUAUUCCUUUUUAUCCAUGCUUUCUAAGUGCCCUGUGGCUUCAGAUGAGAAAUCUUGUUCCGGAAAGUACAGAUUCACAAAAAAAUCCAGUCUGGGACCUUUCUGCUACUGUUUUCAGAAAUUCAUGACAGUCCUUGUCCAAAGGCAUGCCCUGCACUAGUUCAUCCCUCCAUCUCUGAAUGUAAUUCGUUAACGUGAUUUUGCUAUUCCAAGCCAAAUUCCUAAUUCCAAAUUCCUUGUCUGUAUUUCAUCUUCUCCAGCUAAAGCUGGUGGCAGCACUCCUCAGCUCUCGUGCACAUGUUAAAGGUACACAGUUGCUUUCAAGGUGCUGUGCAAGCCCUUUCCUCGCUGUGUCUGCAGUUUCCACUCUUCUCUCGAGCUCCCCUGCUCAUAGAUCCUUUGCCCCAUCCCAAAAAUCACAGUGGCAGCUGCCGGGAGACUUUCUCCUGCAGGAAGGACACACUUCUCAGCUGCAUGUUUUCCUCUGGCUUAUGCCAAGAAAGCGAUUUGUUUUUAUUUUUAUUUUCUAUUUUUUGCAACUUUGCAGUGCAAAAGGAGAUAAGAAGGAAAGGGGAAAGCCAUAAACAAAAUAAACAGAGAUACAGACCCAGUGGAGGCCAAAGACAAGAAACAAACCCCAGCAGUCACACUAACUGAUGCACUGUUAAAAAAACCCCAGGUGAGCUGGGACUUUGCUGCUGAUACAGGUGCAAACCCGAGGGUCCUUGUACUGGGGCUGCUGGUGGAAGUGUGCAGACUGGUGAAGGCGUGUGCAGGGAGUAAAAAAUGAGGAAUAGACAAGAAAAGGUAUAAAAGGGGCCAGCUUGGUGGAAAAUGGAGCUGGUCUGUAUGCUUGUCUGCCCCAGCCCCAUGUCCCUGUCAUCGCAGUCUGUCUGUCUCCUUAUUAAAUCCUUUUUUACCGAGCUCUCUGCAUAAUCUCACAUCUCAGCGAUGAAACAUUUCUAACCAGAAUUUGCCUUUUUUAGAAGAAAUUCCUCUCUUUAACCCUUCCAGCUUUAUUGUCCCUUUUUCUUUUGCCUCUGGUGGCACCUUUUUAUCUCACAUUUGCCUCCCUGGUCUAUGCAGAAGCCCCUGACUCUGCCUGGCUGCUCAGGCUUAGCACCCACCAGUAUUGCUUCCCCGGCAUUUUGUAGCCUUGCUGGCAUACACACACAGCACUGAAGCUGUUACGUGCUGAACACACGUCCGAGAUCAUGGUUACGUUGCUUUCAGGAGCAGCAACAUCUGCUUAAUCCUCUCCUCAGCAGUAGGAUGGAGAAAGGCUAAAAAUAGCGUAAUGGUCUGCUCCGAACCAACACAAAUAAUGACCUUACGACUCUGCUAACUUAUUAGGCCACUCUAUCCUUGGGUAAUGAUGCAUCUCCAAAACCAGGGCUUGGAGUAACUGUCUAUAAAUAGCCAGCUUGGAGUGUUUGCUUUCUCAGCUUCUCUGCCAGCUCCAAGAAUUCUUCGAGAAAAGCAGUGCGGCGGGCCAGCAACAUACCCAGAUGCCUGGUGCAGGACGUCGCUUGUGAGUACUGAUUUUCUCAGGCCAAAGAGAGGAAAAAUAAAAACAUCCUCGUGGCAAGGACAAGCUGGGAGGCUGCACUGUGCAACCCCCUCAAUCUCAUCAUAAAGCCAAGUCGAAUCUUAAUACCCUCAGCCAUCUACAGACGGAUGAGAAGACCGUGAAAUGAAAACCAACCCUCUCCUAAGCCUGUUUUCCCCGAGCUUUUAGUCCUCUAUAACAAGCUGUUUCCUUUGGCACCGUAUAGAGGGCAAGGAGAGUUUCCCUGAACUUGUUAAAAGGAGGAAAAUGUGUUUUGUUUUGUUUCGUUCUGUUUCCAAGCCUUUGCAGCACCAUUUUUCUCCGCACGAGUGUUUUGGAGUGAAGAUCUCCCAGUUACCAUAAUUUACAGCUUUCAAGGGCAAAUGCAGGCGAGCUUAAUUUCACACAAUUCAGGGCAGUUUUAAAAGCUACUGUGCUCACAGGGAUUUUUGGCAUGAUGUAACACACCUUGCCUGUACCUUGUUACACUUUCUACCAUUGAAUGACGUCACGUACAAUGUUUUUCACCCCAAGGAAAGUAAAAUGGGAAAAUGCCUCCUAUGACAGGCAUUUAUAGGCUUCUGGAAAGAGCCAUUAGAAAUCUUCCAUCCUCCUUACUAAAAAAAAAUAAAAAUAAAGCGAGCAAUGUUAUUUUUGCUUUCAGAGAAGUCUCCUGGGGAUAUGAUUUAUGGACAAAGGCACUGUGUCCAAGCCUCUGGCUGGCAAUGUUACAGCCUCGUGUUUCAUCACUCGUCUCCCCCAGGAUGUACUACGAUCGCAUAAAUUGAAGGUUCGCAGCCCAAAUCUGCCACCUUUCUCGGAGAAAAGGCUGCGGCAUUUCUCACCGAUGACCUUACGCUCUGAGAGCCGAAAUUCCCCAAAGCCACGGAUCCCAGAGGACAAGACCCAGAGCAACCCUGCGGCAGAAACCCCCUCUGUGGUUUCAUUGGUGCCUGCCCCCACCCCAUCGCCCUACAUGGGAACGGAGCUGAAUUUCCAAAAAACCCCGUCGGAGAUCCCCGCUGAGCCAAGCAGCCACUCCACCUCUUGCUCGUCUCCCGUGUGAUUUCUUGGUGGUAAAGUCCUGCCUGAUGAAACACCGGCACGGAGCAAAUCCUCUUGUCGAGCCCAGGAGCAGCCUUUGGAAGUGCAGGAGCCCCUCCAGCCAGCUGGAAAGUGAACACAAAGGAACGUUUUAACCCCGGCAGGAGAGGGGUCGUCACUGCCGGUGCUGCCUCUUGGAACAAGCAAAUUUUCUCUCUUUGAAGACACUGGACUGGUCUCUACUCCUGGUCUGAAUCCAGCUUUUCUUACCCCAAAAAUCUUCAGUAAAAUAGUCAGUAAUACAACCCUUACGUAGCCAAGGAGGAAGAAACAAAACUCCAGCAGCAAAAGGUAAUAAAGUGACCUGACAAGGCAAAUUAUUGAA